CGGCGAGUGAAGCGGCAAUAGCUCAAAUUUGAAAGCUGGCCCCUUCGGGGUCCGCGUUGUAAUUUGUAGAGGAUGGUUCGGCGAGGGCUCCCGUCUAAGUCCCUUGGAACAGGGCGUCAUAGAGGGUGAGAAUCCCGUAUGUGAUGGGCUGCCUUAGCCAUGUGAACCUCCUUCGACGAGUCGAGUUGUUUGGGAAUGCAGCUCUAAAUGGGAGGUAAAUUUCUUCUAAAGCUAAAUACCGGCCAGAGACCGAUAGCGCACAAGUAGAGUGAUCGAAAGAUGAAAAGCACUUUGGAAAGAGAGUUAAAAAGUACGUGAAAUUGUUGAAAGGGAAGCGCUUGCAGCCAGACUUGUCCGCAGUUGCUCAGCCUGUCUCCUGACAGGCGCACUCUUCUGCGGCCAGGCCAGCAUCAGUUCGGGCGGUCGGAUAAAGACCCGGGGAAUGUAGCUCCUCUCGGGGAGUGUUAUAGCCCUGGGUGCAAUGCGGCCAGCCUGGACUGAGGAUCUCGCUUCGGCUAGGAUGCUGGCGUAAUGGCUGUAAGCGGCCCGUCUUGAAACACGGACCAAGGAGUCUAACAUCUAUGCGAGUGUUUGGGUGUCAAACCCAUGCGCGUAAUGAAAGUGAACGGAGGUGGGAACCCUCACGGGUGCACCAUCGACCGAUCCUGAUGUCUUCGGAUGGAUUUGAGUAAGAGCAUAGCUGUUGGGACCCGAAAGAUGGUGAACUAUGCCUGAAUAGGGUGAAGCCAGAGGAAACUCUGGUGGAGGCUCGCAGCGGUUCUGACGUGCAAAUCGAUCGUCAAAUUUGGGUAUAGGGGCGAAAGACUAAUCGAACCAUC
rnacentral:rRNA from 2 species